AAAUUGAAGAGUUUGAUCAUGGCUCAGAUUGAACGCUGGCGGCAGGCCUAACACAUGCAAGUCGAGCGGAAACGGCAGUAUUGAAGCUUCGGUGGAUUUACUGGACGUCGAGCGGCGGACGGGUGAGUAACGGCUGGGAACCUGCCCUGACGAGGGGGAUAACCGUUGGAAACGACGGCUAAUACCGCAUAAUGUCUUAGGACCAAAGGUGGCCUCUACAUGUAAGCUAUUGCGUUGGGAUGGGCCCAGUUAGGAUUAGCUAGUUGGUAAGGUAAUGGCUUACCAAGGCGACGAUCCUUAGCUGGUUUGAGAGGAUGAUCAGCCACACUGGGACUGAGACACGGCCCAGACUCCUACGGGAGGCAGCAGUGGGGAAUAUUGCACAAUGGGGGAG
rnacentral:rRNA from 1 species